GUGCAGCAGUCGCGAAUUUUUCUCCAUGGGGGCAACCCUGAAGGAGCGACGCCGCGUGGAGGAUGAAGGCUUUCGGGUUGUAAACUCCUGUCAUUUGGGAACAAGUUGCGAGUAUUAACUGUGCUCGUAUUGAUAGUACCAGAAGAGGAAGGGACGGCUAACUCUGUGCCAGCAGCCGCGGUAAUACAGAGGUCCCAAGCGUUGUUCGGAUUCAUUGGGCGUAAAGGGUGCGUAGGUGGCGCUGUAAGUCGGGUGUGAAAUUUCGGAGCUUAACUCCGAAACUGCAUUCGAUACUGCGGUGCUUGAGGACUGGAGAGGAGACUGGAAUUCAUGGUGUAGCAGUGAAAUGCGUAGAGAUCAUGAGGAAGACCAGUGGCGAAGGCGGGUCUCUGGACAGUUCCUGACACUGAGGCACGAAGGCCAGGGGAGCGAAACGGGAUUAGAUACCCGUGUAGU
rnacentral:rRNA from 1 species